GAUUAACGCUGGCGGCGUGCAUAACACAUGCAAGUCGAACGAUGAAACUUAACUGAUUUCUUCGGAAUGAUUUUAAGUGGAUUAGUGGCGGACGGGUGAGUAACGCGUGAGUAACCUGCCUUGGAGAAGGGGAUGGCCUUUGGAAACGAAGAAUAAUACCCUAUGAUAUGAUAAUAUCUCAUGAUAUUAUCAUCAAAGAUUUAUCGCUCUAAGAUGGACUUGCGUCUGAUUAGUUAGUUGGUGAGGUAACAGCUCACCAAGGCAGCGAUCAGUAGCCGGCUUGAGAGAGUGUACGGCCCCAUUGGGGCUGAGACAAGGCCCAGACUCCUACGGGAGGCAGCAGUGGGGAAAUUUGCACAAUGGGGGAAACCCUGAUGCAGCGACGCCGCGUGAUUUAGAAGGCCUUCGGGUUGUAAAAAUCUUUUGUAUGGGAAGAAAAUGACAGUACCAUACGAAUAAGGACCGGCUAAUUACGUG
rnacentral:rRNA from 1 species